CUGGGUGGGGGCAGGUAAACUGUAAUAGAGGGAGUUGGCAAAGGGUGGGAUAAAGUUUGGGUCUCGGCUUCCAUUGGCUGAGAGCCGCGCCGGAGACACACCUGUGAGUGCCAGAGGCUAAGGAGAUUGGCUGCGACCUGAAAAUUACACCUGUGGGGGGGGAAGGGGGCCAGGCUACAUGUAAACCAAACCCUUUACAAAUUCGGUCUCUCUUCUUGAGGAGCUUUACUCGCCUCACAACGACUGAAGGGAGCUCUUGGAGGACGAUGAACAACGCCGACUUUAACCGAGCGAAGCAAAGGCUCGACGCGCGGUUUUACCUCUCCGGGCGGACCUCCUGGGUUUGGCCGGUCCCCUUUCCGCGUUGACUACUUCCCUGCGACGGCGUCCACCUUUUGAGAAUAGGGAAGGUUUUCACGAGGCCGACACACAGCGGAGGUCGACCGUCCCUCAAGCAAGGGGAACGACGAGGAAGACUAGCCGACGAAGGCGACCAAGCCCCUGAUACAAUGACGCCUCUUGUCUGUGGUUUUUUACGGCUCGAUGGACACACCUGGGAAAGACCCCCGGUAACCUACUCACGGGCCCGCCGCCAUGGUUUGUACCACUGAUGAUUAACUAAAUAGAGUCUGGGAGAGCAGGUCUACUUGGCUUUCUCAUUUCAUGGGUCCUGACCGACCGAGAGGAGUCCAUCCAGCGCUCACAGGCCACUGGUUGGAAAUUCAAGACCUAUUUUUUUUCUCUCUCUUUCUUUUUCAUCACCCCCCCCCCCCCCCCCCCCACCCACAUCUUGCUCUCCGGCCGUACCCAAACUCCCAGCCGUCGGUUUUGUUACAUUCUUUCCUUGGGGGUACCUUUCAUGACGGUAAGGUUACAGGUGUGUUCUCCAUUUUUGUUCUCCAUCUUGUUUCAGCGAGCUCCUCAUUCCCUUAUGUCUGACUCAUGUCUCUCUCUCUCUCUCUCUCUCUCUCUCUCUCUCUCUCUCUCUCUCUCUCUCUCUCUCUCUCUCUCUCUCUCUCUCUCUCUCUCUCUCUCUCUCUCUCUCUCCUCUCCCUCUCUCUUUCUCUCUCUCGCUCUCUCUCUGUCUCUCUCUUGCCCUCCUCCUCUUCUUGUGAUCUCUUUUUACUGCACAAUGUCUUCAGUCAUCUUUUACGUAACAUGCAUUGAAAAGUCGAGAAAGUUGUUUUAGAGAGUUUCCGUAUUGUUUCCCUGUGUCAUCGUCCGAUAUACACUGCACCUAUUGUGUUAAGAAUACAGGUGUUGCCACAAUGCCUUCAUUUUUUAUGUUAAAUGAGGCAUAAUAAUAUUACUUUAAGGUAGAACUGCUGAGGGUGCGAUGUUUAACGCCAUGUACCAAUACGGCAAGUUAUUCAGUAAACGAGGGCCAUUCAAUGACCUUCUGAACACACAAACACACACACCCAGCAGCAUUCCUGCAGCCUUUCCUCACACGGUAAACACUAAGGCAGGAAAAUGGAUCGGUCUGGUCAUAAACGGUUUAAGGACCUCACCUCUUCCAUGCACCAUUACUUAAACACCAUCAUAGUGCUAUGAGGACGCAGCAUGAAUUCGCCACACGAUCACAGUGCCACUCGCUUUGCCAUCCCAGCCUGUUGCUCGUGGAUGCUCAGAUACCCCCCCAAAAAAGGUGUAUUUAUUUAUAAAUUGGUCACUGACAUCCAUUGUGUGAAAGCCCUUCCAAGCACCAAGUGCCAUAGAUCCACACCAGUCAGAACCGGUUUGGCCAAUCAUUAACAACUGUGGCCCGAUCCUCUGUGACAGCAUGUUUAAGAUGAGAGCCUCACGCCGAACAAUAGCUACACUAAACACUCUGAGGUAGGUGGGUUCCACGUAUCCAUUUGAGACAGAACCAGUUUUUUUAUUCAUUCACGGUUACUAUUGUAUUAAUGUGCGAUCAUUGCAUGAUAAGUAUAUCAGACCUGAUCUCUAAAAAAUUUGAGUGACAUUUCGUAUCAACUUCAUUUGUGCCAGGUAGGACUAACAGUUGUACUGAGGAUUGUGCUUAUAUUGGGUGUAUGUUGACUGGGUGGUUAUCUCCAUCUUACGAGGCAGCAUUGGAUGUCAUAUCCCUCUCUAAUACUGCCUGGUAAUGAUGAUGAUAGCCAUCUGCUAGCAGCUAACACACACCUACACACUAACAAACACACACACACAUACCGAAAGACCUGUUGAUUUGAGCAAUGUUAGCAUGGCAUGCUAGCAAGACCUGUGAGUGUUGAGGGUGUCAUCUGGAAGAACCGGCUCCCAGGGCCCAUCUUACCUGGCAGUGCUUGAUUGUAUGACUGGUCUUCUAACACUGUCUGGUAACGAUGUUUCCUGGGGGCCACAUGCGACACCAUGGCUCUGUUGUGCACCAAUGACCUUUCCACCACUGUGCUAGUGGCAGAUUAGUUUCACUUACGGUAAAUUUAUGCUAUUAGAUAUAUUCGUUUUAUGUAGAGAGUGAACCAAAUAUUUAUAUGUGUGUUUAGUAUUUAUAUUUAUUUGUGUAUUAUUUAUUUAUGAUCAUGUAUUUUUUUAAUUCUAGAUUCUUCUUCUGUAUUUUAUAGACAUUAGAAUAAGAGAGGAAGUAGAAUAGUAAGAGAUGAAGAUGGACAGGAGCAGUGUAGCUAUUAGCUGGUUUAGCAUUGCGGGCGUCUCAGCUCUUUAUUUUAAAGCUAUGUCCGACAAUGACUGACUUGACUCGCUAAAGUACUCCCCCCCCCCCCCCCCCCCCCCCACACACCCAACCCCACCCGCCAGGAAAUGAGAAAGAGCAGACUUUUGCUCCCUUGAGCUCAACUAUUAUUUUCUUUACAGCUUUACUUCCUUGUCCUGUCUUCCCCCCCCCCCCCUUAUUCAAAGAAAGCCCGCCCAGCCUAGUCAAAGAAUAGCAGGCAGUUGACGGUGGUUCCACCGGUCGUGCAGGUAGCCCCUCCCCCGCACAUUCACACAAAGUGCUGGGUGACAGUGAUUGGUCGAGCUGGACUCACCUGCAUGGUUACAUCCUGUAACUGACACAUGAGCUCACCUGAGGAACUUACGGAUAUUAAAAGAGGUGAAGCCAUUGUGGGCCAUGACUCGAUGCAAUGUCAUCUUUUACACUUAAUAGUGUGUUUUAAAUGCCAACGACAAUCCCUUUGUGGCAUAAGGCUUAAUUUAUUGAAAGACUUUAUAACACAUCAGCAAAUAACUUUCAGUGAAUAUGUUACUUUUUUUAAGGAUUGUAACGCCUAUUCUGCACUUCCUUAUUUCAGUGGUAAAACAUGUUUGAUGCCCUGUUAGGGAAGAGGUUUCGAAACAUGCAGUGACCUUUUAAAUGAUAGACGGAGUCAUUCAAAGGCAAAUAAUAAACAUGGAGCUGCACAUUUCUUUUGUUUGUUUAAGGAGGGUGAAUUACCCCCUCAAAUAUUUAGCCACACCUUUAUUUGCGCAUUUAGCGCCACCAUCUAAGCUAAGGGGAACUGCAAUAGCGGGCUUUCAACGCUGUCAGGCCUUUUCUCCUAGCUUGUGUCACACUGCUGUGUGAACCGUUUGCCUGGCUGAGGAGCUAUCAGCGCUAAUGGGCAUAGCUGGCUGAGGCUACUCUCCACACGCUUAUGAUGUACUUAUUCACGGUUCUGAUGUCAAAUGUGUAUGUAAUAUUUUGGAAAGGGUGACAAGAACCGGGACAAAGCACUAAUUCACGCUCACCUGCUGUUCUACUGCCUUGUUCUCUGAAUGCUUUCUUUUGUGAUCUGUUUCAGCUCACUUCCUUCCUCUGUGUGCAGGUGAAGGUGAGAAGUGCUCAGCCCCUUGAUAGACGUCUUACCAGACACGGUUAGAUUUAAUGAUCUGUGUCUAAUACUGUCUGGUAAUGCCGUCUAUUAAGUGGCGCUACCUUCUACUCUCUCUUACUUCCUUAUUUCUCACUCUCGCACCCAGGGGACAUUGUUUUGUCUUUUGCAUAUGCAGACCUGUCGUGAACCAUUAUGAGGUGAAAUGUCGGAUGUAGGGAGACAGUCAAUGGAUGAUUGACCCACAUUUCCUGUGAACCAAUGAAACUAUGAACCUUGCACUGGAAGAAUGGUUGAGUUUUGAGUUUCCUUCCAUGUGACUCGUGUCAGAGUUUCACUCCUGAGCAGCGACCCGUGAGACCACGGGAUUCUGAGCGAGCCGAUUGGCUGGUUUCCUCUCCAGCAGAGGGCUAAAUUGGGUUCCGCCAUGCGUUCGAUGCAAUGUACUGUAACCGCUGGGUCUAUUUUAAAGCCCUGAGUGUUUUUAUUGUUUCCCUCUUACCUUCAGGGUUGCUAUCGUACUCUAAAUGCUUUCUUUGUUUUUGGUGACUAAUGCUCCUAAUGACUAAUGUAAUGUCAAUCAAUGCAAAGUCAAAUAAAAAAAAAUGAAUGUCAAAAA